rnacentral:rRNA from 1 species
UGGGGAAUAUUGCGCAAUGGGCGAAAGCCUGACGCAGCGACGCCGCGUGAGGGAUGAAGGUUUUCGGAUCGUAAACCUCUGUCAGAAGGGAAGAAACCGCACUGUGCUAAUCAGCAGUGCCUUGACGGUACCUUCAAAGGAAGCACCGGCUAACUCCGUGCCAGCAGCCGCGGUAAUACGGAGGGUGCAAGCGUUAAUCGGAAUUACUGGGCGUAAAGCGCACGUAGGCUGCUUUGUAAGUCAGGGGUGAAAUCCCACGGCUCAACCGUGGAACUGCCUUUGAUACUGCUUAGCUUGAAUCCGGGAGAGGGUGGCGGAAUUCCAGGUGUAGGAGUGAAAUCCGUAGAUAUCUGGAGGAACAUCAGUGGCGAAGGCGGCCACCUGGACCGGUAUUGACGCUGAGGUGCGAAAGCGUGGGAGCAAACAGG